rnacentral:tRNA from 1 species
GGAGAUUUGCUCGAGUGGCUGAAGAGGUAUCCCUGGAAAGGAUAUAGGCGACUAAAUCGUCUCGAAGGUUCGAAUCCUUCAGUCUCCG